AAAGCAAGGAGAAACGAUGUUUACUGGCCCCCUCUCUCUGGCUUCUCUUCACCUAGCUUUCUUACACAACCCAGGGCCACCUGCCAGGGUGAUACCACUCACAGUGGGCCGGGUCCUCCCCCAUCAAUCAUUAAUCAAGACGAUUUCCCACAAACAUGGCAACCUCCCUCGGCUGAAACUCCCUCUUCGCAGGUGACUCGGUUAAGUCAACAAAUCAAAACUGUCCGGGACAGGCUCCUUCAGCUUACAAAUAGACUGGAGGCUCAUAGGGACAGAAUUCAGAUGUUCUCUCCAUAAAUACCCUGAAGAAAAUGAAAA
rnacentral:lncRNA from 1 species